rnacentral:lncRNA from 1 species
AAGUAAACUAACUUGUCUGGCCACCGAAUCCUAGAAGUCCACCUGCCUAUGCUUCCCUUGAUCUGAAAUCCCAAGUUCACGAUGCUGUGCCCAAGCUCCUAACUUCUGAUGAGCCAUUGCCUCUGGGAGCAGUGUCUUCAUCCCAAUUAGUAGCAUCCUCAUUGUUCCUAGAAUCCCCACUACAGUGACAUCAGUCCUUCUACCUCCAACUUCUGGAAUCCAUGAGCAUGGUCUGAGGAUGUGGUGAUGCCACCUCCAGAAGGUUCCACAAGGAAACUGCUCAUUCUUCCCCAGGUGUUCACUCUUCAGCAAGUCCAGGGAAACCGCUGUUUCGUGUUCAUUAAGUACAGCUAGCAAAGUAUAAUAGGAAACGUCUGCUCUGCUGAGCUGCCAUUCCGGGACGACGUUGGAGGAGGUCAACGAGGCCCCAGCUGCGGGGACUCUGCUCAAAUGGAAACUCCAUUCUCUGCUCUCUGACUCAGAUCCCUCCUGGGU